rnacentral:rRNA from 1 species
CACGUAGGGUGCGAGCGUUGUCCGGAAUUAUUGGGCGUAAAGAGCUCGUAGGCGGUGUGUCGCGUCGGCCGUGAAAACCUGCAGCUUAACUGUGGGCUUGCGGUCGAUACGGGGCAUCACUGGAGUUCGGCAGGGGAGACUGGAAUUCCUGGUGUAGCGGUGAAAAUGCGCAGAUAUCAGGAGGAACACCGGUGGCGAAGGCGGGGUCU